UCCCCGUUACCGGGGCAGUUUGAAUAGAAAAAUACAACUAUUCACAAGGGUUGCGCUCGUUGAUGGACUUAACCAAACAUCUCACGACACGAGCUGACGACGGCCAUGCAAGAUCUGUCACCGAGUUCAAUUAAGCACUCUCGCCUUUCGGCAAAAUUCUCGGGAUGUCAAGCCCUGGUAAGGUUUAUCGUUUAUCAUCGAAUUAAAGAACACAAUCCACCGCUUGUGCGGGUCCCCGUCAAUUCCUUUAUGUUUUAGUCUUGCGACCGUACUCCACAGGCGGGAUACUUAACGCGUUAGCUUCGCUACUGGGGGGGUCGAUACCCCCAACAGCUAGUAUCCAUAGUUUACGGCGUGGACUAC
rnacentral:misc_RNA from 1 species